rnacentral:rRNA from 1 species
AUUGAACGCUGGCGGCAUGCUUUACACAUGCAAGUCGAACGGUAACAGGUCUUCGGAUGCUGACGGGUGGCGAACGGGUGAGUAAUACAUCGGAACGUGCCUAGUAGUGGGGGAUAACUACUCGAAAGAGUAGCUAAUACCGCAUGAGAUCUACGGAUGAAAGCAGGGGACCUUCGGGCCUUGUGCUACUAGAGCGGCUGAUGGCAGAUUAGGUAGUUGGUGGGGUAAAGGCUUACCAAGCCUGCGAUCUGUAGCUGGUCUGAGAGGACGACCAGCCACACUGGGACUGAGACACGGCCCAGACUCCUACGGGAGGCAGCAGUGGGGAAUUUUGGACAAUGGGCGAAAGCCUGAUCCAGCAAUGCCGCGUGCAGGAUGAAGGCCCUCGGGUUGUAAACUGCUUUUGUACGGAACGAAAAGCCUGGGGCUAAUAUCCCCGGGUCAUGACGGUACCGUAAGAAUAAGCACCGGCUAACUACGUGCCAGCCGCCGCCGUAAUAC